rnacentral:rRNA from 1 species
CCGACACAGGUAGUCAAGAUGAGAAUUCUAAGGUGAGCGAGCGAACUCUCGUUAAGGAACUCGGCAAAAUGACCCCGUAACUUCGGGAGAAGGGGUGCUCUUUGAGGUUCACGCUUCGAAGAGCCGCAGUGAAUAGGCCCAAGCGACUGUUUAUCAAAAACACAGGUCUCUGCUAAACCGUAAGGUGACGUAUAGGGGCUGACGCCUGCCCGGUGCUGGAAGGUUAAGAGGAGUGGUUAGCGCAAGCGAAGCUACGAAUCGAAGCCCCAGUAAACGGCGGCCGUAACUAUAACGGUCCUAAGGUAGCGAAAUUCCUUGUCGGGUAAGUUCCGACCCGCACGAAAGGCGUAACGAUUUGGGCACUGUCUCAACGAGAGACUCGGUGAAAUCAUAGUACCGGUGAAGAUGCCGGUUACCCGCGACAGGACGGAAAGACCCCGUGGAGCUUUACUGUAGCCUGAUAUUGAAAUUCGGUACAGUUUGUACAGGAUAGGUAGGAGCCUUAGAAGCGUGAGCGCUAGCUUACGUGGAGGCAUUGGUGGGAUACUACCCUAAUUGUAUUGGAUUUCUAACCCGCAGCACUUAUCGUGCUGGGAGACAGUGUCAGGCGGGCAGUUUGACUGGGGCGGUCGCCUCCUAAAGAGUAACGGAGGCGCUCAAAGGUUCCCUCAGAAUGGUUGGAAAUCAUUCAUAGAGUGUAAAGGCAUAAGGGAGCUUGACUGCGAGACCUACAAGUCGAGCAGGGU